rnacentral:rRNA from 1 species
UACGGAGGGUGCAAGCAUUAAUCGGAUUUAUUGGGCGUAAAGGGCGUGUAGGCGGGGUAUUAAGUCGAGUGUGAAAUUCCAAAGCUCAACUUUGGGACUGCACUUGAAACUAGUACUCUGGAGGAUUGGCGGAGAAAAUGGAAUUCCACGUGUAGCGGUGAAAUGCGUAGAUAUCAGGAGGAACACCAAUGGCGAAGGCAGCUCGCUGGGACGGUACUGACGCUGAGGCGCGAAAGCGUGGGGAGCAAACAGG